UGGGGAAUAUUGCACAAUGGGCGCAAGCCUGAUGCAGCCAUGCCGCGUGUGUGAAGAAGGCCUUCGGGUUGUAAAGCACUUUCAGCGAGGAGGAAGGUGGUGAACUUAAUACGUUCAUCAAUUGACGUUACUCGCAGAAGAAGCACCGGCUAACUCCGUGCCAGCAGCCGCGGUAAUACGGAGGGUGCAAACGUUAAUCGGAAUUACUGGGCGUAAAGCGCACGCAGGCGGUUUGUUAAGUCAGAUGUGAAAUCCCCGGGCUCAACCUGGGAACUGCAUUUGAAACUGGCAAGCUAGAGUCUCGUAGAGGGGGGUAGAAUUCCAGGUGUAGCGGUGAAAUGCGUAGAGAUCUGGAGGAAUACCGGUGGCGAAGGCGGCCCCCUGGACGAAGACUGACGCUCAGGUGCGAAA
rnacentral:rRNA from 1 species